rnacentral:rRNA from 1 species
AGUGAACGCUGGCGGUAGGCCUAACACAUGCCAGUCGAACGGCAGCACAGUAAGAGCUUGCUCUUACGGGUGGCGAGUGGCGGACGGGUGAGGAAUAUAUCGGAAUCUACUUUUUCGUGGGGGAUAACGUAGGGAAACUUACGCUAAUACCGCAUACUACCUAUGGGUGAAAGCAGGGGAUCUUCGGACCUUGCGCGAUUGAAUGAGCGGAUGUCGGAUUAGCUAGUUGGCGGGUUAAAGGCCCACCAAGGCGACGAUCCGUAGCUGGUCUGAGAGGAUGAUCAGCCACACUGGAACUGAGACACGGUCCAGACUCCUACGGGAGGCAGCAGUGGGGAAUAUUGGACAAUGGGCGCAAGCCUGAUCCAGCCAUACCGCGUGGGUGAAGAAGGCCUUCGGGUUGUAAAGCCCUUUUGUUGGGAAAGAAAAGCAGCAGGUUAAUACCCCGCUGUUCUGACGGUACCCAAAGAAUAAGCACCGGCUAACUUCGUG